AGGAAAAAGAGGAGCCACGGAGAAGGACCCUCUUCUUCCCACCCUCCUUUUUAUUUGCUGAAUUUAAAGACAUGAGAUGAUGCAGGUGUCUCUACGGGAAAGAACCUUCCAUGCUGUGAAGGGGUGAAAAAUUUAGCUUGGGAGACUACAGCCAUCGAAACAGAAAAGAAGUCCUAAAAGACAGACGAUCCUGGAGGAGGAUGCCUGACCUAAAUAAGCAUAUAUCCUAAAAAGGUUCUUCUGUUGGAUUCAGUGUUUAGCAGCUCUCGACAUCUGUGUGUUAAAAUAGCUCAGGCAACUGGAUUCAACACUGAGAACGACAUAUGAUAUCAAAANGUUUGCUGACUAAACCAAACUUUGUUUUAACUUCAUUUGCUCAAUAAAGGUCUUUU
rnacentral:lncRNA from 1 species